AGAGUUUGAUCCUGGCUCAGGAUGAACGCUGGCGGCGUGCUUAACACAUGCAAGUCGAACGAUCCUUCGGGAUAGUGGCGGACGGGUGAGUAACGCGUGGGAAUCUGCCCUCAGGAGGGGGAUAACGGCUGGAAACGGCCGCUAAUACCCCAUAUGCCGAGAGGUGAAAUGAAUUUCGCCUGAGGAUGAGCCCGCGUCUGAUUAGCUAGUUGGUGGGGUAAAGGCCUACCAAGGCAACGAUCAGUAGCUGGUCUGAGAGGAUGAUCAGCCACACUGGGACUGAGACACGGCCCAGACUCCUACGGGAGGCAGCAGUGGGGAAUUUUCCGCAAUGGGCGAAAGCCUGACGGAGCAACGCCGCGUGAGGGAUGAAGGCCUCUGGGCUGUAAACCUCUUUUCUCAAGGAAGAAGACCUGACGGUACUUGAGGAAUAAGCCACGGCUAAUUCCGUGCCAGCAGCCGCAGUAAUACGGGAGUGGCAAGCGUUAUCCGGAAUUAUUGGGCGUAAAGCGUCCGCAGGCGGCCUUGUAAGUCUGUUGUUAAAGCGUGGAGCUCAACUCCAUUUAAGCAAUGGAAACUACAAGGCUGGAGUGUGGUAGGGGCAGAGGGAAUUCCCGGUGUAGCGGUGAAAUGCGUAGAUAUCGGGAAGAACACCAGUGGCGAAGGCGCUCUGCUGGGCCAUAACUGACGCUCAUGGACGAAAGCCAGGGGAGCGAAAGGGAUUAGAUACCCCUGUAGUCCUGGCCGUAAACGAUGAACACUAGGUGUCGGGGGAAUCGACCCCCUCGGUGUCGUAGCCAACGCGUUAAGUGUUCCGCCUGGGGAGUACGCACGCAAGUGUGAAACUCAAAGGAAUUGACGGGGGCCCGCACAAGCGGUGGAGUAUGUGGUUUAAUUCGAUGCAACGCGAAGAACCUUACCAGGGUUUGACAUCCUGCGAACCCCUGAGAAAUCGGGGGGUGCCUUCGGGAGCGCAGAGACAGGUGGUGCAUGGCUGUCGUCAGCUCGUGUCGUGAGAUGUUGGGUUAAGUCCCGCAACGAGCGCAACCCACGUCUUUAGUUGCCAGCAUUCAGUUGGGCACUCUAGAGAGACCGCCGGUGAUAAACCGGAGGAAGGUGUGGAUGACGUCAAGUCAUCAUGCCCCUUACAUCCUGGGCUACACACGUACUACAAUGCUACGGACAAAGGGCAGCAAGCUCGCGAGAGUUAGCAAAUCCCAUAAACCGUGGCUCAGUUCAGAUCGUAGGCUGCAACUCGCCUACGUGAAGGAGGAAUCGCUAGUAAUCGCAGGUCAGCAUACUGCGGUGAAUACGUUCCAGGGCCCUGUACACACCGCCCGUCACACCAUGGAAGUUGGCCAUGCCCGAAGUCGUUACUCCAACCCUUGUGGAGGAGGACGCCGAAGGUGGGGCUGAUGACUGGGGUGAAGUCGUAACAAGGUA
rnacentral:rRNA from 1 species